ACAAAAGCGAAGACGGGGAGGAGUACAGCGGUCCGCGCCUGCAGAGAGGGAAAUCAGAAGCUGCGAGAUUUCCUAGGAUGACGGCUGCUGGAAGGUCGCCCUUGAGCUGCUUCUUUGAAAGGCGCUACUGCCGAGUAGAGGAAGCCGGCAUCAUGCCGUUAUGCCAAUGAAGCGCUUAAGCCUUUGGGCUUAAGAAAAAAGGUGGUACCGCGAAAGCAGCUCCUUUCGUCCUUUUU
rfam:Geobacillus sp. CAMR12739 Contig48, whole genome shotgun sequence.